rnacentral:tRNA from 1 species
GCGGAUGUAGCCAAGUGGAUCAAGGCAGUGGAUUGUGAAUCCACCAUGCGCGGGUUCAAUUCCCGUC